rnacentral:ncRNA from 2 species
CCGAGUUUACAACUCCCAAACCCAAUGUGAACGUUACCAAACUGUUGCCUCGGCGGGGUCACGCCCCGGGUGCGUAAAAGCCCCGGAACCAGGCGCCCGCCGGAGGAACCAACCAAACUCUUUCUGUAGUCCCCUCGCGGACGUAUUUCUUACAGCUCUGAGCAAAAAUUCAAAAUGAAUCA